GUGAAUCAUCGAAUUUUUGAACGCAAAUUGCACUCCCUGGUUUUCCGGGGAGCAUGCCUGUUUGAGGAUCGGUAGAAGACUAAUCGACGCAUCGCGCUUUUUUUUCAGGGGGAUCGCGUCGGAAUUGGGCCGUCUUCCAAAUCUUGAUUUAUGGCAAAGUGGCUUGAAAUUCAUCCAUCUGGUACGAUUAAAGCGUAUUUAAGAUCAAUCUUGAUUAAGAACGCGCGAUGACGU
rnacentral:misc_RNA from 1 species